AUGAACGCUGGCGGCGUGCCUAAUACAUGCAAGUCGAGCGAACGGACGAGAAGCUUGCUUCUCUGAUGUUAGCGGCGGACGGGUGAGUAACACGUGGAUAACCUACCUAUAAGACUGGGAUAACUUCGGGAAACCGGAGCUAAUACCGGAUAAUAUUUUGAACCGCAUGGUUCAAAAGUGAAAGACGGUCUUGCUGUCACUUAUAGAUGGAUCCGCGCUGCAUUUGCUAGUUGGUAAGGUAACGGCUUACCAAGGCAACGAUGCAUAGCCGACCUGAGAGGGUGAUCGGCCACGCGGUAUCUGAGACACGGUCCAGACUCCUACGGGAGGCAGCGGUAGGGAAUCUUCCGCAAUGGGCGAAAGCCUGACGGAACAACGCCGCGUGAGUGAUGAAGGUCUUCGGAUCGUAAAACUCUGUUAUUAGGGAAGAACAUAUGUGUAAGGAACUGUGCACAUCUUGACGGUACCUAAUCAGAAAGCCACGGCUAACUACGUG
rnacentral:rRNA from 1 species